rnacentral:rRNA from 1 species
AGACUCCUACGGGAGGCAGCAGUGGGGAAUAUUGCACAAUGGGCGCAAGCCUGAUGCAGCAACGCCGCGUGAGGGAUGACGGCCUUCGGGUUGUAAACCUCUUUUAGCAGGGAAGAAGCGAAAGUGACGGUACCUGCAGAAAAAGCGCCGGCUAACUACGUGCCAGCAGCCGCGGUAAUACGUAGGGCGCAAGCGUUAUCCGGAAUUAUUGGGCGUAAAGAGCUCGUAGGCGGUUUGUCGCGUCUGCUGUGAAAUCCCGAGGCUCAACUUCGGGUCUGCAGUGGGUACGGGCAGACUAGAGUGCGGUAGGGGAGAUUGGAAUUCCUGGUGUAGCGGUGGAAUGCGCAGAUAUCAGGAGGAACACCGAUGGCGAAGGCAGAUCUCUGGNCCGUAACUGACGCUGAGGAGCGAAAGGGUGGGGAGCAAACAGGCUUAGAUACCCUGGUAGUCCACCCCGUAAACGUUGGGAACUAGUUGUGGGGUCCAUUCCACGGAUUCCGUGACGCAGCUAACGCAUUAAGUUCCCCGCCUGGGGAGUACGGCCGCAAGGCUAAAACUCAAAGGAAUUGACGGGGACCCGCACAAGCGGCGGAGCAUGCGGAUUAAUUCGAUGCAACGCGAAGAACCUUACCAAGGCUUGACAUAUACGAGAACGCUGCAGAAAUGUAGAACUCUUUGGACACUCGUAAACAGGUGGUGCAUGGUUGUCGUCAGCUCGUGUCGUGAGAUGUUGGGUUAAGUCCCGCAACGAGCGCAACCUUCUUUUAUGUUGCCAGCACGUAAUGGUGGGAACUCAUGGGAUACUGCCGGGGUCAACUCGGAGGAAGGUGGGGAUGACGUCAAAUCAUCAUGCCCCUUAUGUCUUGGGCUUCACGCAUGCUACAAUGGCCGGUACAAAGGGCUGCAAUACCGUAAGGUGGAGCGAAUCCCAAAAAGCCGGUCCCAGUUCGGAUUGAGGUCUGCAACUCGACCUCAUGAAGUCGGAGUCGCUAGUAAUCGCAGAUCAGCAACGCUGCGGUGAAUACGUUCCCGGGUCUUGUACACACCGCCCGU